UACAGAGGUCUCAAGCGUUGUUCGGAUUCAUUGGGCGUAAAGGGUGCGUAGGCGGCGCGGUAAGUCGGAUGUGAAAUCUUGGAGCUUAACUCCGAAACUGCAUUCGAUACUGCCGUGCUUGAGGACUGGAGAGGAGACUGGAAUUUACGGUGUAGCGGUGAAAUGCGUAGAUAUCGUAAGGAAGACCAGCGGCGAAGGCGGGUCUCUGGACAGUUCCUGACGCUGAGGCACGAAGGCCAGGGGAGCAAACGGG
rnacentral:rRNA from 1 species